rnacentral:rRNA from 1 species
AUUGAACGCUGGCGGCAGGCCUAACACAUGCAAGUCGAGCGGAUGAAGGGUGCUUGCUCCUGGUUUCCGCGGCGGACGGGUGUGUAAUGCCUAUGAAUCUGCCUGGUAUUGGUGUAUAACGUCCGGAAACGGGCGCUAAUACCGCAUACGUCCUGAUGCAGCAAGUGGGGGAUCUUCGGACCUCUCGCUAUCAUAUGAGCCUAGGUGGGAUUUGCUAGUUGGUGGGGUAAAGGCCUACAAAGGCGACGAUCCGUAACUGGUCUGAGAGGAUGAUCAGUCACACGGGAAGUGAGACACGGACAAGAGGACUACGGGAGGAAGCAGAGGGGAAUAGUAGACAAUGGGCGAAAACAUGAUACAACGAGGGCGCGUGUGAGAAGAAAGUCUUGGGAGUGUAAAGAAGGGUAAGGUGGGAGGAAGGGCAGUAAGUUAAGACGAUGCGGUAGUGACGGUACCAACAGAAUAAGCACCGGCUAACUACGUG